UUGCUAAAUGUGCUGAAGGCAAGCAAAGAAAUAAACAAGCAGAGAAAUUAGACUUUCACGACUGCCAAGGGCGUGCACUUCCUCUGUAAAGUGCUGCACGAAAACCACACCUCAGUACAGUAAAUCUUUGCAAACUAAAGAUUUAGCAGGCACAAUGCACACAGAGGAAGAACACUGGGACAUGCUGGCUUGUCCCUUUCAGACAUUUAGCAAGGUCGAAGAGCAACGCCUUGUAAAGAAAGACGUACACACACGUGGGAAUCAGUACCACAAUGAUUGUGUGACUGUGAUGAACCCCAAAUGGAUUCCAAAAAUUCACAGCGCUCCCUUUCACAACAGAAGCGUUUGUAACUCCAGUUACGCUGAAGUUUAGAAAGCAAAAUACCUCUUUUGCUGCAUAAAUGUUUGUGGCAUCAGCCCAAACCCACCUGUUUCACAAAGGAGGGGAACUGCUGAGCUGUGGGCUGAGGAGCCACCUGUGGGGCUGGCUGGGCUCAGGUGCUGCUCGUCAGCCCUAGUUAUAGCCUGCUUGCUCCUCAGCAUGGGUCAGGUGGUACCUGGGUCUGCAGAGGAGUUAUUGCCAUAACUGUGCCUUGAGUGACUCACGAGGACAACAAAAGAUGAAGAACAAAGCAAGAAUAAAGAGUUCUUGGCUUCAACGCUGGUUGCUUUGCUGACCUCCAUUGGUUGCUAUUUCCCUGAUGACAUGAAGGACAUGCAAAGAACCCACAGUGUCAAUGAACUUGCAAUCAGUGGAAGGUUUCGUGUCUUUCAAGAAAGACUCUGCAUUUCUGAUCCCAUUCUGCCAACUGUUGUUCGUCCUCUGGCACUUGGCUGAUUCUUCGUUCACAAUGUUCUAGGAGUUGAUGUGGUUGUGUCAGACAUAUGAAACAGUUAUAUUCUUCAUAACUGACAACAGCAACAUUUGAAGCUGCCUGGAACUGGUGCUGUUCCCAAAGGUUUUGAGGGGCUGUAAAUGCUCUGGAGUGGCAAGAUACCCUGUGGAAGCUGUUAGGAUGGAACCUGCCCAUGGAGGAAUCGAGGUGAAAUUAAAAUAUAAUACAGAAAGGACAGGCAACAAGCUUUAUUGCUGCCCUCGUGUUUCAUCCAAAUGUUGCAGCUUCACCCUUUUCUGCAACAAAGAACAAGCAGGUUGAGGACUGCUGGCUGGAAUUCUCACCUGUUCUUCCCCAGCUCAUGUAAACGCCUUUGCUCUGUGGUUCUCUCUUUCUGCCUACCCUUAUCUGUCCAUUUCCACCCCACCUCCACUCCCCUUUGGGGCUGCACUGUCAAAAGCCUAUUCCCAGCCUGUAUCGCUUUUUAUUGAAUGUUUGUGAGGUUUGGAUUAAGGUCUUACACUGCUAGCAAAGCUGUAAUUAUUUUUGCCUGUAUUACUAUAUAUUGAAUCGAUGUAACUUUUCAAUAAAGGUGGUUCAAUGCAGGACACUCCCUGAUGAGUUGGGAAUAUAGAAACCACAGUCAUUAUCCCAGAGGGUGUUUUUUUUUUUCUUGGAGGGAAAUGGAAAAAGAAUUAGAGAUGAGCCUUAUUGUAUUAACCUUGACAGCUUGCAAUUAUCAACUGAAACACUUGAUUAAAAUUGUCACAAGGUUGGAAAAUUUUUUUAUAAAUAAAUAAUCAAACACGGAUAGUACCCAGAUGCUGUGGUGAUAGGCACCUUUAAUGGGCGUAAUUAAUAAUGAUCAUAAGCCUCGUGUACACGAGUGGCUCCUGAAAAUACUGUCUUGCUUUGCAAGGGAAAGAACUCUGCAAUUCACAGAACCAUUUGGUAAGAACUGGAGAUGGGCUCUGCAUCGUCUGGUUCCUCACGUAGCGUAGGUGCUUUGUUGGUAUCUAAAUUAUGACCUGUUUUACAAACCUCACUUUCUAAAGAAGGGUGUUGAGCAUUUUCAGCCACUGAAUGCAAUAUCUCGCUCCCUUAUUUGGCUGCAUGACUCUGGUUUCCUCUUUUGCCACUGUUUCCAUUGAACUGCUUAUCUUAUGGUUCUACAGCUCUUCAAACAGGUGAAUGAAGUGCUGCAGUGGUGCAAUUCUGAGCAUCUUAAAUGAAUAUUGCUAUCCUGCAAUGUCAGAAAUACCUCACUGCAUGAGGUGUCCUGCAUAUUAAGGUAGCUUUGUAAUUGCAAAAGCCACUGAGCUAUUGGUACCACAGCUGGCUGCGAUCUCAUUUGCUCAUAUAAAAGAUGCAGCUGAUAGGUGCAAGCUCUACCUUAUCGCUAUUUUUUAUUCCCAUCAUGGCUACCACUAGAAAAUGCACAGUUUCACUUUAAUCUUAAGACCAGGGAGCUGUUUGUGAAACAAUGCACUGUUUUACAAAUGAGUAAUCAACUGAGAAGGAUAGAAAAAAGGAGGGAUUUUUGGAGGAGAACGCAGCUGACUCAAUUAAGCGUCAGGAGUUUGGAUGAUGGGCACUGUUAUCCCUCAUUCUAGAAUCUAAGCAAACUAAACCAUAGUUUCUGUGAAGGACCCAUGAGGAUUGUUCCAAAUAAGACACUAGAAAGUCACAAAAUACUUGUUUUUCCUGAAUAAUUUAUUUUUAUAUUUUCCUCCAUCGAAAAUUAACGUCGUUUUGGGGGCAGAAAUCUGCCUUUACCUGGAUGGAAGAUUUUCAUCCAUCCAUUUGUGAUCUGCUAACUACAAGCAGGUAAAAUAUUUUCAACUAAGUCACGGUUUUGUCUCUUUUAGAUGAUAAGCAUGUUAUGUCGUAUUUUAAAACCAUAAAAUGUUUCUGAAAAUGCAGACAAAGCCUUUGCCAGGUAAGUGAUGCAAAAGUUAACUUGGUCUCGCUCAUUGAGUUGUACUGCUGUAGUUAAAGAUCUCAGUGUUGUACUGAGUUGUAAAUGUGCAAAAGGCUGCCUGAACACUUAUUGUGAUUUAGUUCAACAUAAUUAGGCACAGCCUUUAAAAUUAAAAUCUGUUUGCAAAGUGAUACACGUUAGUUUAACUGUUAAAGAGCACAGGAAUGUAUAAUCCCUCUGCAGUUAUGGUUCCAGAUGGACUGGGAAGUGGCAAAGUUUUUCUACCCGUAAAGGAGAGGCCAAUAUUAUAUCUCUCUUUUGUGUGUGUGAUACAUAACAGUCCUGAAUCCAUCUUUCUAUAAAUAAGAGGCAGAUUUUUAUGUUCUCCCAUUAAAAACUGAGCUCUUGUCCAGCUUGAGUAAGUCACGAUAUACGUUGAGCUACUAACAUCAACAUCCCAUCAAAUGAAAGGUAAGUAAAUAAUAGGAACGGGAGGGAUUUUUGUUAAAUGUUAACAAGAAAUUUUGAACCUCUCUUAUGGUUUUCUUUAUUUUGAAACAGCCUGUGCCCCAUACAUCUCUGCCAAUAAACUGUGGAGAAAAAAAUGUACGUUAUCCUCCUUAUAUAUCAAAUUUAAUCAGAUGACAUAUAUAUAGUUUUCUCAUAUUGACAUCAUGUAUAUAUCAUUUAUGGUCCAUAAGGUACUUAAAGCCCUGUCCAGGCUCAGGAAUCACUCUGCCUCAGCAGCAUAUUACUGAAUGUUCCUAGCAAGGAAAUGCCCAGUUAUUAUUUUUACCUGGUUACGGCUGUUAAGAGUGGGUUUAAAAUGCUGUGUUGUAAGUGUUGACUGGAGCUAGGCUUCAAACUGGAACAGCGGGUCAGGCACUGCACUGGUAGCAAUCAGGAACAGUGCUUUGUAAAUGUGAGCCAGCCAUUCCAUCUGAAUCCCACCCUCUAGAAACUUCUCAGAGCAACUUUCCUCUCAUUACCUGUUUGUACAAACGUUCAAUGCAAGUGGACAAGAAUCCCUCGUGUUAACACCUCUAACGUUGUCAAGACAAGAUAUGAAUAAUUACAGUCUUCAACUCAGAUACCUCUAUUUCCUUAGGAAAUGGUACAGAUGUCCCCUUUGCUAAACUGAGACUGUUCCUAAGGGUAUCAGACUUCAAUACUUUUUGGGUUGGCUAGGAUCCUGAUGGUUAAUGGAACAUCUGACCUUCUGGGGCUUGCCUGCUAUUCCUUGUAACUGAGCUUGCAUUUUUAUGUUGAGAUGUGCUGAGCUGGCCAAAGGUAAUCUGGGCAGUCAGCGGUCCAUGCUGUUCCAGCAGUUUCCAAUUUGCUUGCUUUUCCCCAUCAGCUGCCCUCCAUCUGAGAUGAGUUGAUUAGGCAUUUGUGUACUUAUCAUGCCGUGUUGCAUCACGUCAUAUUAUAUCUUCCCAAAGCCUUUUUUAAACUCCCUUGACAUCUGACAUGAGUGGAGAAUACGAUUGUUCUGAUCAGGAUCACCUGCUCUCAAUUUGGAUAACAUAUAGAACUGAGUGGCGUCCAGUAUGGAUUGCUGCUUGUUCUCUACCUAUCACGUCCUGUAACAGUGGAAGAAUGUAUAGCAGAUGGCAGGUGAAAGAGGUAAGCAAGAACACAUGGCACGGGAUGGGGUUAUCUGAGGGUAUUCCACAGGUCUUGGCUGGGUUGUGCAGCCCAAAGCUGAAAGCCAGUAGAUAGGCACGUUUUGUGCUUAGCUAAUAGUUCUGACUCGCAAUGUAUUUUCUGCAAGCUGCCCUAUUAUCUCCAGCAGCUUUAGGUAUCACAAGAUUGUCCCUGAAAAAUAUAUUUUUGCAUCUCUAAACAGCCAGGAAUAAUGGGAGUGCUAAUCUGAGGAUUAAGCUCGUAAGGCUUCUCCUGUUUAGACUAGUUUUUAUCCAGGCUUAAACACUGCUGUGGCUAGCAUACACAGAAGCUAAAUUCAAGAUUUCUGUUGCUGCUUGUAAGCAGAGUGGCAUGCCCUGAGGGGCUGGUUGUAUUUUUGAUACAAUCACUGCAACAGGAUGCGAUAAGUAGGAUGGAGAUUGUAUCACUAGGAAACGUUUUGCCUUUCAACAAUAGGUGUAGCGAAAGUACAAUGCUGCAAAUGUUACAUUAGAGCUCAAAAAAAAUCCCUGCUGGAAAGAUGUUUUUGCUGAAUUAUGGGUAAAGAAACUGGGAGGUGAUGUCAAAACCACUGCAUGAUGUGCUUUAGCUUGGAGCCUGAAUGUACUCACAGCUUGUCCUGUGCUUUUGCUGAUGCCCAUGUUAAAAAUAAAAUAAUAAAAUAUAUUAACAGCGUACCUAUUCUUAGCUUGUAUAUUACAGGGCAGUGGCAUAGCAAUGGAGAUUAACAGUGUCCCAUUGCUGCAGCACAGUAAGUCCAUUCAAGAAGCCUCUUUGGGACCCUCCUGUUGACUUUCUAGCCACAUCUGUCUGUCAACACUGUGGGAACAUUAAUUUGGAUAUCAGGGCUGCGCAGAUCUGGAUCCUUUCCAAAUCACGUGCUCCUCAGCAUGCAUCAAUUUAAGCAGUUCAGUUGGGGAAAAAAAAAAAAAAAACUUUCCAUCUCUGGUUGAAAUAGUUAAAGAGCUCCGAAAACCUGACACAAUGAACCUGGGGCUGAGUGGUCUGUGAAUCAAGUGCUGUCUUUGCUGUGAGUCACAGCUGUAGUUUGUUGUCGCAGGCUGACUGACAAGUCUCAUUGUACAGGUACUGUAUCUGCUGAAAGCUUAUUUAAAUGUCACUUGUGGCUUUAUUACUGUUUUUUUUUUAUGUAUCGCAGCGUUGAUGUACAAGGAGAUUUCCUACAACGAAGGGCAUACAGUGGACUUCUAUCAGUGGAAAAAAUGCAUAGAUGCAGGAGAAGGAGACCCUUGGGGUCUGAUGACGGGAGCAAAGGCACUCUUCUGUUUGACAGCAGGAAAGACGGAAGAGGAGAAUGGAAGGAUG